UUGCAAAGGUAGCAUAAUAAUUAGUUUAUUAAUUGUAAAAUCGUAUGAAAGAAUAAAUAAGAAUUUAAUUGUCUCAAUUUUACACCAACCAAACUUUAUUUCUUUAUCAAAAAGUUAAGAUUUAUUUAUAGGACGAGAAGACCCUAUAAAUCUUAACUUUUUGAUAAAGAAAUAAAGUUUGGUUGGGGCGACCAGUAAAAAAUAAAACUUUACUCCUUCAAAUAUUUAACAUAAAAAUUUUGAAAUGAUCCUUUCUUAAAGAUCAAUAGAAUAAGUUACUUUAGGGAUAACAGCGUAAUUGUUUUAAAGAGUUCUUAUCAACAAAAAAGUUUGUGACCUCGAUGUUGGAUUAAAUAAACUUAAAGUGCAGCAACUUUAAUGAAUAUAGUCUGUUCGACUUAUAAAUUAUUUACACGAUUUGAGUUCAGACCGGAGAUCAUUAGUUUAUUAAUUGUAAAAUCGUAUGAAAGAAUAAAUAAGAAUUUAAUUGUCUCAAUUUUACACCAACCAA
rnacentral:rRNA from 1 species